UGAGUGUGGGCUGAGGCCCCCCCGACCCCCCCGGGAGCAGCGCCCGCGCUGAGGUGAGGGAAUGGGGGGGGGGGGGGGGAGGGGCAGCUGGGGGCACUGGGAGGCACUGGGAGGCACUGGGAGACACUGGGAGCACUGGGAGACACUGGUUUGCGGUGGGUGGCACUGGGUGGCACUGCAGACACUGGGUGGCAGCGCAAGGCACUGGGAGCACUGGUUUGUACUGGGGGCACUGGGAGGCACUGGUUUGUACUGGGGGCACUGGGAGGCACUGGUUUGUACUGGGUGGUACUGGGGGCACUGGGAGCACUGGUUUGUACUGGGUGGUACUGGGGGCACUGGGAGGCACUGGUUUGUACUGGGUAGUACUGGGGGCACUGGGAGGCACUGGUUUGUACUGGGUGGUACUGGGGGCACUGGGGGCACUGGUUUGUACUGGGUGGCAUCGGGUGGCACUGUUUGCACUGGGGGCUGUGGGACACUGGGUGGCAGUGUGGGACACUGGGAGCACUGGUUUGCACUGGGAGGCACUGGUUUGCACUGGGGGCACUGGGCAGCGGGGUGUUACACUGGGAGCACUGGUUUGUACUGGGAGCACUGGUUUGGCACUGGUUUGCAUUGGAGGCACUGGUUUGCACUGGGACACUGGGUGGCAGUGUGGGACACUGGGAGCACUGGUUUGGCACUGGGAGCACUGGGUGGCAGUGUGGGACACUGGGAGCACUGGUUUGGCGCUGGGGGCACUGGGAGGCUGUGCUGGGGGCACUGGGAGCACUGGUUUCCACUGGGAGCACUGGGUGGCGGUGUGGGACACUGGGAGCACUGGUUUGGCACUGGGAGCACUGGGAGGCAGUGGGGACAUUGGGUGGCAGUGAGGGGCACUGGGAGCACUGGUUUGUACUGGGUGCCACUGGUUUGCACUGGGGGCACUGGGCAGCGGGGUGUUACACUGGGAGCACUGGUUUGUACUGGGAAGCACUGGGGGCACUGGGUGGCAGCGGAAGGCACUGGGAACACUGGUUUGUACUGGGGGCAUUGGGUGGAACUGAAUGGAACUGGGGACACUGGGAGCACUGGUUUGGCACUGGGAGCACCGGGUGGCGGUGCUGGGAGCACUGGGAGCACUGGUUUCCACUGGAAGCACUGGGAGGCAGUGCUGGGGGCACUGGGAGCACUGGUUUCCACUGGGAGCACUGGGUGGCGGUGUGGGACACUGGGAGCAUUGGUUUGGUACUGGGAGCACUGGGAGGCAGUGCUGGGGGCACUGGGAGCACUGGUUUCCACUGGGAGCACUGGGUGGCAGUGCUGGGGGCACUGGGAGCACUGGGAGGCAGUGGGGACAUUGGGUGGCAGUGAGGGGCACUGGGAGCACUGGUUUGUACUGGGUGCCACUGGUUUGCACUGGGGGCACUGGGCAGCGGGGUGUUACACUGGGAGCACUGGUUUGUACUGGGAAGCACUGGGUGGCAGUGGAAGGCAAUGGAAGCGCUGGUUUGUACUGGGGGCAUUGGGUGGAACUGAAUGGAACUGGGGACACUGGGAGCACUGGUUUGGCACUGGGAGCACUGGGAGCACUGGGAGGCAGUGCUGGGGGCACUGGGAGCACUGGUUUCCACUGGGAGCACUGGGUGGCUGUGCUGGGGGCACUGGGAGCACUGGUUUGGCACUGGGGGCACUGGGGGGCAAUGGGGACAUUGGGGCAAUGGGGGGCACUGGGCAAUGGGGCACAGUGUAA
rnacentral:lncRNA from 7 species